AUGCCCCCAAGAGAGGUCAUGAAAGACGGGAUCAUCCUGACCCUAGUCCCUGGCAUCUGCUUCAGGGAUUGCGAGAAAAGUCUUCUCCUUCUAAGACCUGAAGAUGCUGUCACACCUGAUAAGCAGGGUGAGCCAGAUCAUACAGAACUUGAUCUUUCUGCUCUGGUCGGAGAAAAACGUGCAAAGGAAUUAAGAUUCAGACAGCAGUGUUUCUGUUUCAAAGGGACUGCUGCUGCUAAGUCGCUUCAGUCGUGUCUGACUGUGUGACCCCACGGACUGCAGCCCACCAGGCUUCUCCGUCCAUGGGAUUCUCCAGGCAAGAACACUGGAGCGGGUUGCCAUCUCCUUCUCCAAUGCAUGAAAGUGGAAGUGAAAGUGAAGUCGCUCAGUCGUGUCCGACUCUUAGCGACCCCGUGGACUGCAGCCUACCAGGCUCCUCCGUCCAUGGGAUUUUCCGGGCAACAGUACUGGAGUGGGGUGCCACUGCAGAGAAAGCCAAACAGGCAGGCUGUCGACCAACAGCAGUAGAAGCAUCAUUGCACUGAAGCGUCUUCAAGGAAGAAAGGGCCACCUGAUACAGUGAUGUUCGCCCUGCUUAUCCCAGCAGGGCCGGCUCUAUGCCAUAAUCACAGCUCCCCAUGUUCAUCUGGGUUUGACACUUUCCAAGGCUUAGCACACAUUUGACUUUUCUCCAUCCUCAUCGCCCCCGAGUAAGGAGGUGGGAGCAGUGUCUCCACGCAGAUGAGAAUACCAAGGCUUGCAGGUUAAGGGAUGUCCCUGGCAUCCUGUACACCUGUGCUCCUCUCCCAUGAGGCUCGUCUUCGGGGGCCAGUAGAGGACAGGGAGAAGCAGAGGAGGAAGUAGUGACAGUGCCAAGGACCAGGGAAAGAAGCCUUGGGUUCUGUUUCAGGGUGCAUUUUUACAUCUCCGUUUCUUAGUUUCUCUGCCUGCUCCCCCCAGCUCUUCUGCAUACAUCAGGAAUAUCAAUGCUUCCUGGCCAGGAUGUAACAAAAGCUACAGACUAACAGAAAAUAUCCUAGAACGGUGAGAAGGGAUCUAAACUAAAGCCCAGAGAGGUAAAGUGACUGGCCUAAGAUCACACAGCUGGCUAGCAACAGAGCCCAGUCUGCUAUUCCAGACUGCAGCCAUACUGGAUGAGUUAGAAUGCCUGGCCAAUGGCAAUGACCCAAGAAGCACCUGGGAAGUUCUGAAUGCAAGCAGU
rnacentral:lncRNA from 1 species